rnacentral:tRNA from 1 species
UAGAGCGCACCCCUGAUAAGGGUGAGGUCCCUGGUUCGAGUCCAGGAUGGCCCA